UAUUUUGUAGAAAUGGUUGCUAAAGAGCAAAAGAGAUUAACAACCGUUAAUCUACCUUGAUAUUAUAACACUCAAGGUUAAAUUGCACGGUGUUACUGGAAUCACUGUUAGAUAUAUGAUGACAACACUGAAGCAUUUCUACUGAAUGAGAAAUCAUUUUUGCCCUAAAACUUUGGGAAAAAAUACAGAUUUGAAAACUAAAGAAUGUGGGAAGUGUCCUUGUGUAAUUUGGAAAUGCAUAAAAUUCUAAUUAUGUCCUCUUAGAUAUGUUGAAAAAUGGGUUCACUAUUUCAAAGCUAGAAUGUAUAAUAUACUGCUAGUGCCAAGGCUGCAAUUGAACUGAACUGUCCUUAUGGUUACACCACGCUAACUGAUGAAAAUAUAGAUGUUAAAAUGUCUCCGCUCUAAUGUAUGUUGCCUUCACUUAUAACUCUGCACAUUUCAUUAUAUAGUAGGGAAAAGAUUACAGAUUCUACCCCCAUGUACUCAAUCGUGAUCAGAACAGAUCAGAAUAAAGGGAGUUUUGAAAAGUGUUUAUCUAAGUCAGUGGUUCUUAACUAGGGGCAAUUGUGCUGCCCUCCUCUUCCCCAACCCCUCUCUCCAUGGACAUUUGGCAAUGUUUAGAGACGUAUUGAGUAUCUAAGCUUGUUGGGGGUGCUACCAGCAUCUAGCUAAUGGAGCCUAGGGAUAUUCCGAAACCUGCUACAGCAUAGGAUAGGUCCCUACAACAAAGAAUUAUCUGGCCCCAACGUCAAUAGUGCCAAGGUUGAGAAACCCUAUUCUAGUCUGUGGAAAAGCCACAAGGACACUUCUCAAAUAGCAUAUUGGAUGCCCAAGAGAUUAUAUAACUUUCUAUGUAUGGUGCCUUUUCUAGACUCUCUAAAAUCAUCACUGGCAUAGACUGAAUGUUUUUAACCCCCAACAUUCAAACAAUGAACCCUAUAUCCUUAACAUGAUGGUAUGUAGAGGUGGAGACUUCGGGAGAUAAUUAUACCACAAUGGCAUAGUCCAUGUGAAUGGGACUAGUGCCCUUAUAAUAAGAUGAAGGAACCAGAGCUCUCCUCACCCCACCUACCAAGUGAGGCUAUAGCAAGAAGGUAUUCCUCUGUAAACCAGGAAAUGGACUCUUAGCAGGAACAGAAUUCACCAGCACCCUGAUCUUGGACUUCCUAGACUUUUAGAAUGGUGAGGAUUACAUUUCUGUUAAGCUGGAACUGACUAAUACAAUCUCUUUUCUUAUAGGCUUUAAGUAUAUUUGACGUUUUCUCAGUUUUGUUGCAUCCCUUUAUUACCUCCUUAAGAUUAUAUUCCAAUUUAUUUUAGUUCAACCCAAGAGUCCUAAAUCUUCUCAGUCACACAUUCACAUAUAAUUUUUGGACUAUUUCUUUGGGUACUUAAUAUUGAUCCAUUUUUAUUGAUAGUUUCAUUAUCUAAAAUGUCAAUCUUAAUUUCUGAUUUCAGCUUACUUUGCUUCCAUGUCCAAAUAAUUAUAAUUAUAUACACAUUCUUAAUAUUUUAAAGAAAUCAACUUUUGUGGAUCAAUUAACAUUUUAUUUAUGCU
rnacentral:lncRNA from 13 species